AACGAACGCUGGCGGCAUGCCUAACACAUGCAAGUCGAACGAGAUCUUCGGGUCUAGUGGCGCACGGGUGCGUAACGCGUGGGAAUCUGCCCUUUGGUUCGGAAUAACAGUUGGAAACGACUGCUAAUACCGGAUGAUGACGAAAGUCCAAAGAUUUAUCGCCAGAGGAUGAGCCCGCGUAAGAUUAGCUAGUUGGUGUGGUGAAGGCGCACCAAGGCGACGAUCCUUAGCUGGUCUGAGAGGAUGAUCAGCCACACUGGGACUGAGACACGGCCCAGACUCCUACGGGAGGCAGCAGUGGGGAAUAUUGGACAAUGGGCGAAAGCCUGAUCCAGCAAUGCCGCGUGAGUGAUGAAGGCCUUAGGGUUGUAAAGCUCUUUUACCCGGGAUGAUAAUGACAGUACCGGGAGAAUAAGCUCCGGCUAACUCCGUGCCAGCCGCCGCGGUAA
rnacentral:rRNA from 1 species